rnacentral:rRNA from 1 species
UACGGAGGGAGCUAGCGUUGUUCGGAAUUACUGGGCGUAAAGCGCGCGUAGGCGGCUUUGUAAGUUAGAGGUGAAAGCCCGGGGCUCAACCCCGGAAUUGCCUUUAAGACUGCAUCGCUUGAAUCCGGGAGAGGUGAGUGGAAUUCCGAGUGUAGAGGUGAAAUUCGUAGAUAUUCGGAAGAACACCAGUGGCGAAGGCGGCUCACUGGACCGGCAUUGACGCUGAGGUGCGAAAGUGUGGGGAGCAAACAGG